rnacentral:rRNA from 1 species
GAUGAACGCUAGCGAUAGGCCUAACACAUGCAAGUCGAGGGGCAGCAUAAGGAAGUAGCAAUACUUUCUGGUGGCGACCGGCGCACGGGUGAGUAACACGUAUGCAACCUGCCUUCAACAAGGGCAUAACCCGUUGAAAGACGGACUAAUACCCUAUAAUACAGGGGCCCCGCAUGGGGAUAUUUGUUAAAGAUUUAUCGGUUGAAGAUGGGCAUGCGUUCCAUUAGCUGGUUGGUGGGGUAACGGCCCACCAAGGCAACGAUGGAUAGGGGAACUGAGAGGUUUAUCCCCCACACUGGUACUGAGACACGGACCAGACUCCUACGGGAGGCAGCAGUGAGGAAUAUUGGUCAAUGGACGCAAGUCUGAACCAGCCACGUCGCGUGAAGGAAGACGGCCCUACGGGUUGUAAACUCUUUUAUACGGGAAUAAAGUGCCCC